rnacentral:rRNA from 1 species
GAAGAGAAGCUUGCUUUUCUGAUCUAGUGGCGGACGGGUGAGUAACACGUGAGCAAUCUGCCUUUCAGAGGGGGAUACCGAUUGGAAACGAUCGUUAAUACCGCAUAAUAUAAUUGAACCGCAUGAUUUGAUUAUCAAAGAUUUAUCGCUGAAAGAUGAGCUCGCGUCUGAUUAGCUAGUUGGUAAGGUAACGGCUUACCAAGGCGACGAUCAGUAGCCGGACUGAGAGGUUGAUCGGCCACAUUGGGACUGAGACACGGCCCAGACUCCUACGGGAGGCAGCAGUGGGGAAUAUUGCACAAUGGAGGAAACUCUGAUGCAGCGAUGCCGCGUGAGGGAAGAAGGUUUUAGGAUUGUAAACCUCUGUCUUCAGGGACGAAAAAAGACGGUACCUGAGGAGGAAGCUCCGGCUAACUACGUGCCAGCAGCCGCGGUAAUACGUAGGGAGCGAGCGUUGUCCGGAAUUACUGGGUGUAAAGGGAGCGUAGGCGGGAUCGCAAGUCAGAUGUGAAAACUAUGGGCUUAACCCAUAAACUGCAUUUGAAACUGUGGUUCUUGAGUGAAGUAGAGGUAAGCGGAAUUCCUAGUGUAGCGGUGAAAUGCGUAGAUAUUAGGAGGAACAUCAGUGGCGAAGGCGGCUUACUGGGC